rnacentral:rRNA from 1 species
UGGGGAAAUUGGGCAAUGGGGGAAACCCUGACCCAGCGACGCCGCGUGAGGGAAGACGGCCUUCGGGUUGUAAACCUCUUUUGUACGGGAAGAAGGAAGUGACGGUACUGUACGAAUAAGUCCCGGCUAACUACGUGCCAGCAGCCGCGGUAAUACGUAGGGGACGAGCGUUGUCCGGAAUUACUGGGCGUAAAGGGCGCGCAGGCUGUGCUGCAAGUCAGCUGUGAAAUGUCUGGGCUUAACCCGGGCAUGCGGUUGAGACUGCAGUGCUGGAGUGCUGUAGAGGCAAGUGGAAUUCCCAGUGUAGCGGUGAAAUGCGUAGAUAUUGGGAAGAACACCGGUGGCGAAGGCGACUUGCUGGGCAGCAACUGACGCUGAGGCGCGAAAGCCAGGGGAGCAAACGGGAUUAGAUACCCCGGUAGUCCUGGCCGUAAACGAUGAAUGCUAGGUGUGGGUGUAGAGAUACAUUCGUGCCGGAGUUAACGCGAUAAGCAUUCCGCCUGGGGAGUACGGUCGCAAGAUUGAAACUCAAAGGAA